rnacentral:rRNA from 1 species
CCUACGGGAGGCAGCAGUGAGGAAUAUUGGUCAAUGGGCGCUAGCCUGAACCAGCCAAGUAGCGUGCAGGAUGACGGCCCUAUGGGUUGUAAACUUCUUUUAUAUGGGAAUAACGUGCCUUAUGUGUACUGCUUUGCAUGUACCUUAUGAAUAAGGAUCGGCUAACUCCGUGCCAGCAGCCGCGGUAAUACGGAAGGUCCGGUCGUUAUCCGGAUUUAUUGGGUUUAAAGGGAGCGUAGGCGGGUUGUUAAGUGUGCUGUGAAAUGUUCGGGCUCAACCCGGACCUUGCAGCGCGUACUGGCGUGCUUGAGUCCGCGGAAGGCAGGCGGAAUUCGUGGUGUAGCGGUGAAAUGCUUAGAUAUGACGAAGAACCCCGAUUGCGAAGGCAGCUUGCUGCAGCGGAACUGACGCUGAUGCUCGAAAGCGCGGGUAUCGAACAGGAUUAGAUACACGAGUAGUC